GAAAUGCGAUAAGUAAUGUGAAUUGCAGAAUUCAGUGAAUCAUCGAAUCUUUGAACGCACAUUGCGCCCUUUGGCAUUCCGAAGGGCAUGCCCGUUCGAGCGUCAUUACACCAAUCAAGCCUCGCUUGGUAUUGGGCGCCGGGAGACCCCGCGCCCUUAAUUCAUCGGCUGGACGGUUGGAACCUCAGCGUUGUGGUCAAUCAAUUCGCUGACGAGGACAACCGGACCCGCCGCUAAACCUCAUCACAGGUUGACCUCGGAUCGGGUAGGGAUACCCGCUGAACUUAA
rnacentral:misc_RNA from 1 species